CUCGUGCUGCAAAUAAAUAACGAGAGUUGAGUGGUAGGUAACAGACUCUGCUGAAUUUGUCAUCUGCAAAAUGUUAUGUACUAGUUUAGAGAGUAUGUUAGUUUCGGUAGACAAAUAUAUUGAGUAUUGUUUUAGCGACGGUAAAAGUAGUGACGUAGUAAGACAGACGAAUGACGUAGUAGAUUAGGCGAAGAAGAGCAACAUGGCGAUAGUAUAGAACAGUGAUGCUCAACCUAAUUCGACCUGCGGGCCAUUUUAACUUUCGACACGCGCGUCCCGGGCCACAUCAACAGAAAGCAGGAUUGGAACCCUGGACCCCCAGUUUGGAAGCCAAGCGCCUUACAGCACAGCCACCGCGCCUCUGAGUUAAUAUAAGCUUUGUAAAAACUACCCCAAGAGUUCAAAGAGGCCUUUUAUUCAUCUCUACAAGAAGAAGGGAAAUAGAUUUGCGAUAACCACCGUGGCAUAUCUCUCCAUUGCUUACAAAACUCUGGCAAGGAUGCUGCUAUAUAAACCAGCAAGAACAAAUAAAUUAAAUCUCUAUACUUCAUUCCUGGAUUUGACCAAAGCAUUUGAUAACGUCAGCCAUGUAUGUCUUUUGCAUAUCCAGUCCGAAUUAGGCUGCCCAGAUCAAUGCAUAUCAAUGGUACGCCAAUGAAAAAAUGCAAACAAGAAUCCUGCCUCAAAUGGCGCGAAGCAGGAAUGCCAGGUGGCCAUAAAAUGAUGUUGAUAUUUCACAGACGAAGUGACUUUUCGCAGUAGUUAUCGUCAGCGCAAAAUACAAGCGCAUAACUCCUUGCAUGUCCACUGAUCAGUAAAAACACUUAAUUCAACGUUAUGACCCACAGAUUCUGAGAACCUCUGAGUAACAGGUUGCUUCUGAAAAACUUUGAAUAUACAAAGACAAGUAAACGAAGAAGUUAAUUAAAAACUUGUCAGUCUGCUGCUAUUUAUUUAUCAAUAAAUAUAAAUUAUAUAUCAACUCUGUCUAUCUGUGUGUCUGUCUGGCCAAAGUUUUCUACACGUUAUUUCUCCUACAUUCUCGGAUCAAGCUGAAAUUCGGCACAAUUAUUUCUUUUACCUGCCAACAAAAAAAAAUAAACCAAUUAGUUAAUUAACUAUUGGUAAAUAAUUAUUUCGAACAAG